rnacentral:rRNA from 1 species
GAUGAACGCUGGCGGCGUGCCUAAUACAUGCAAGUCGAGCGAACAGACGCUGAUUUUGCUCCUCUGACGUUACCGGCGGACGGGUGAGUAGCACGUGGAUAACCCUCCUCUUAGACUUGGAUAACUUCGGGAAACCGGAACUAAUACCAGAUAAUAUAUUGAAGCGCAUGGUUCAAUAGUGAAAGACGGUUUGGCUUUCACUUAUAGACGGUCCCCCGCCGCAUUGGGUAGUUGGUAAGGAAACGGCUUACCAAGGCGACGAUGCGUAGCCGAAGUGGGAGAGUGGUCGGCCACACGGGAACUGAGACACGGUCCAGACUCCUAAGGGAGGCAGCAGUAGGGAAUCUGAGGCAGUGGGCGAAAGCCUGACGGAGCAACGCCGAGUGAGUGAUGAAGGUCUUCGGAUCGUAAAACUCUGUUAUUAGGGAAGAACAAAUGUGUAAGUAAAUAUGCACGUCUUGACGGUACCUGAACAGGAAGCAACGGCUAACUACGUG